rnacentral:rRNA from 1 species
ACGCACGCUGGCGGCGUGCUUCACCCAUGCAAUUCGAACGGAAAGGCCCUGCUUUUGUGGGGUGCUCGCGUGGCGAACGGGUGAGUAACACGUGAGUAACCUGCCCUUGACUUUGGGAUAACUUCAGGAAACUGGGGCUAAUACCGGAUAGGAGCUCCUGCUGCAUGGUGGGGGUUGGAAAGUUUCGGCGGUUGGGGAUGGACUCGCGGCUUAUCAGCUUGUUGGUGGGGUAGUGGCUUACCAAGGCUUUGACGGGUAGCCGGCCUGAGAGGGUGACCGGCCACAUUGGGACUGAGAUACGGCCCAGACUCCUACGGGAGGCAGCAGUGGGGAAUAUUGCACAAUGGGCGGAAGCCUGAUGCAGCAACGCCGCGUGCGGGAUGACGGCCUUCGGGUUGUAAACCGCUUUCGCCUGUGACGAAGCGUGAGUGACGGUAAUGGGUAAAGAAGCACCGGCUAACUACGUG